rnacentral:SRP_RNA from 1 species
GCCGGGCAUGGUGGUGCGUGCCUGUAAUCCCAGUUACUCAGGAGGCUGAGGCAGGAGAAUCGCUUGAACCUGGGAGGUGGAGGUUGCAGUGAGCCAAGAUCUCGCCACUGUACUCCAGCUUGGGCAACAGAGUGAGACUCCAGUCUGAGCAACAGAGCGAGACUCUGUAUCAAAAAAUAAAGAAAUAAAAAAUAAAUAUAUAAAUUUUCUUUUUUUUUUUUCUUUUGAGACAAUCUCGCUAUAUUGCCCAGGUAGGAGUGCAGUGGCGCGAUCUCAGCUCACUGCAACCUCCGCCUCCCAGGUUCAAGCGAUUCCCCUGCCUCAG